AUUGAACGCUGGUGGCAGGCCUAACACAUGCAAGUCGAACGAGUGGCGGACGGGUGCUUUAUGUCUGGGCAUCUGCCUGAUGGCGGGGGAUAACUACUGGAAACGGUAGCUAAUACCGCAUACCAUCGGAUGUGCCCCGAUGGGAUUAGCUAGUGGGUGGGGUAAAGGCUCACCUAGGCGACGAUCCCUAGCUGGUCUGAGAGGAGGACCAGCCACACUGAAACUGAGACACGGUGCAGGCUCCGUCGGGAGGGAGCAGUGGAGAAAAAGGCACAAUGGGCGCAAGCCUGAUGCAGCCAUGGCGGGUGUAUGAAGAAGGGCUUCGGAUGGGAAGGUACUGUCAGCGGGGGGGCAUUAUCCGAAGAAGAGGCACCGGCUAACUCCGUGCCAGCAGCCGCGGUAAUUC
rnacentral:rRNA from 1 species